CCUUCGAUAGCUCAGUUGGUAGAGCGGAGGACUGUAGGAGAACAGAGCAGAGCAGUGCUGACAUCCUUAAGUCGCUGGUUAAACUCCGGCUCAAAGGA